rnacentral:rRNA from 1 species
GACGAACGCUGGCGGCGUGCUUAACACAUGCAAGUCGAACGAAGAGCGAUGGAAGCUUGCUUCUAUCAAUCUUAGUGGCGAACGGGUGAGUAACGCGUAAUCAACCUGCCCUUCAGAGGGGGACAACAGUUGGAAACGACUGCUAAUACCGCAUACGAUCUAAUCUCGGCAUCGAGGAUAGAUGAAAGGUGGCCUCUACAUGUAAGCUAUCACUGAAGGAGGGGAUUGCGUCUGAUUAGCUAGUUGGAGGGGUAACGGCCCACCAAGGCGAUGAUCAGUAGCCGGUCUGAGAGGAUGAACGGCCACAUUGGGACUGAGACACGGCCCAGACUCCUACGGGAGGCAGCAGUGGGGAAUCUUCCGCAAUGGACGUAAGUCUGACGGAGCAACGCCGCGUGAGUGAUGACGGCCUUCGGGUUGUAAAGCUCUGUUAAUCGGGACGAAAGGCCUUCUUGCGAACAGUUAGAAGGAUUGACGGUACCGGAAUAGAAAGCCACGGCUAACUACGUG